UUUAUACUAUUAUUAACUCACUAAUGACAUAAAUGAUUAAAUCUUAUACAGAUUAAUGGACUCCUUUUUCUUCCAAACAGUAGCCUUCUCCUUAAAACACUGAGUAACAUACUGUGCACAAUAGUGUACUUUUCAUUAUGAUAAAAUACUUCCUACUAAAAGGCCCUCUAGUAGAAAAUCGGACAAUAUGACUUCUCUUGUUUCAUCUUUAUUUUUUCAAAUGUCAUCAGGAAAAAUGGGUAAGUGAAUAUUUUCAUUGAAACACAUAACAAUAUUUAGCAAAAUCUCAAAGCUGUAUAUGGUCUGGUGUUUUAUAUAACUUUGGCAUCCUAUUCAACUAAACCACAAAUGGGAUAUAUGGAAGUUAUUUCUUAUAUCCUUAAGCAUUUAUUUUCUUCUUGUUAAUGGAAUGUCUCAUGUCAGAGGCUCUAUAGGGAAAAUGAAACAUUAUUUUCAAAUAGGAUUAAACAAUUAUAUAACUCAUUGUUUUGGGGAUAUAGGAACAGAAGUCUCUCCUGAUAGGACUUAGUGCUUAUUAAAUAUAAGUUGAUAAUGAUGAUUAAUAUAGGCUGCAAUGGGGACUAAGCUCUAUCAUUGCUACAUUGUUCGCCUAUGCACACUGUGGGAAAAGGUUAUAACACUAUGGAUAUGCCAGAAAUGUGAGCAAAUGUUGAUUUACAUGGCACACAAAAAGUAGGAAGAUUUGAAAAAUUCUACUAGUGAUCAUCACUCACUGUGGAUAUACUGUCAGUAUGCUAAUAUUUUGGCCCCAAGAUGAAAACUUUACAGUUAAGUGAGUAGAGGCAAUAUAUCAGAACCUAUAUGUGAGUGAUAAGUUGCUAAUGGUUAGUGAUGCAUAUUUCAAGGAUUAUAAAUCUAUAUUUUUUAUUGCUGGCAUAUGCUAAAGUUGUAUGGAGAAAUGCAUUAUGAUUCAGCUUAAAAAAAGACACAUAAUCCAAGUGUCAGUUUGGAGCUAGUAAGUCUAAUAUGCUCCUUGUCCCACUAUUUGAGCAAAUAACCUUGCUCUUAUUUUAAUGAUGUUAUUUGAAUAAUGAAACAGUAACUUUCUCACUUAUUUCCAUUAAAUCUCCAGCUCAUUUGCAUUUAUAUACUCUGCCUCCUUCUAAUUACAAUUGCAGGACAUCUUGUCAUUCCUACAAGACGUUAGCCUUUCCUGCUCUGGAUUCCAUCCACUCCUGCUUCUAAAGGAUUUUGCUCAUUGAUUAACGCCUACCUCCUUUUCUCAAGGUUUAUUUAAUUUAUGUUUUAAUAUUUUCUUUAUUUAUUGGUAAAUUUCAGUAGCUUUUGGGGCACAAGUGUUUUUUUUUUUUUUGUCACAUGGAUAAAUUAUAUAGUGGUGAAUUCUGAGAUUUUAGUCCACCCAUCACUUGAGUAGUGUACAUUGUACCUAAUGUGUAGAUUUUUAUCCCUGGCACCGGUCCCUGCCUCCCUCUUCUGAGUCUCUGAAGUCCAUUAUAUCUAUCUGUAUGCUUUUGCAUGCCCAUAGCUUAGCUCCCACUUCCAAGUGAGAGCAUAUGAUUUUUUCUUUUCCACUCCGGUUACUUUACUUAGAAUAAUGUCCUACAGCUCCAUCUAAGUUUCUGCAAAAGACAUUAUGUCA
rnacentral:lncRNA from 10 species